rnacentral:lncRNA from 1 species
CCUAACGAAAAGUUUCUAAGUGUGCAGGGUUCUAAGGAAAGAAGAAAGAGAUCUGAUGACGUCAUCAGAUACAGAAUCAAAUCAGAUACAAAAUAUCAAAAGAUCAGAAGUAUCUGAAGUGGAAACACGCUCUAGAAGAUCUGAGUCCAAGCAAAAGCGGAUCAGGAUAUCAGAAGCAUCUGAAGAAGAAGUGCUCUCUAGAAGAUCUGACUCUGAAAUUGGUAUAUCAUUUCCAGAAGCUCUCAGCGUUAUCCGAAGACAUCAU